GGGUCGAUGGCGUAGCUGGUUAUCGCAUCUGUCUAACAUAGUAACACGUUUGUCAAUGUACACAGAAGGUCCUCAGUUCGAACCUGGGUUGACUCA